rnacentral:rRNA from 1 species
UUGAUUCUAUGGGUGGUGGGGCAUGGCCGUUCUUAGUUGGUGGGUUGCCUUGUCAGGUUGAUUCCGGUAACGAACGAGACCUCAGCCUGCUAAAUAGUCACUGUCGUUUCCGGCGGCUGGCCGACUUCUUAGAGGGACUAUUGGCGUUUAGCCAAUGGAAGUAUGAGGCAAUAACAGGUCUGUGAUGCCCUUAGAUGUUCUGGGCCGCACGCGCGCUACACUGACGCGUUCAACGAGCCUAUCCUUGACCGAGAGGUCCGGGUAAUCUUUGAAAACGCGUCGUGAUGGGGAUAGAUCAUUGCAAUUAUUGGUCUUCAACGAGGAAUGCCUAGUAAGCGCGAGUCAUCAGCUCGCGUUGAUUACGUCCCUGCCCUUUGUACACACCGCCCGUCGCUCCUACCGAUUGGGUGUGCUGGUGAAGUGUUCGGAUGGCGAGAGGCAUGCACACUUCUCCUGCCGAAAGUUCAUUAACCCCCCCUUGAGAAGGAAAAUUUUCCCCC